rnacentral:rRNA from 1 species
AGAGUUUGAUCCUGGCUCAGGACGAACGCUGGCGGCGUGCUUAACACAUGCAAGUGGAGCGACGAAGGGCCUCCGGGCCUGGCAGAGCCGCGAACGGGUGAGUAACACGUGGGUAACCUGCCCCGAUGAUUGGGACAACCCGACGAAAGUCGGGCUAAUACCAAAUGUGCUUUCCGCUCUCAAGAGUGGUCAGGAAAGGAAGCUUCGGCCUCCGCAUCGGGAUGGGCCCGCGGCGCAUUAGCUUGUUGGUGGGGUAACGGCCUACCAAGGCGACGAUGCGUAGCUGGUCUGAGAGGACGAUCAGCCACACUGGAACUGAGACACGGUCCAGACUCCUACGGGAGGCAGCAGUGGGGAAUCUUGCGCAAUGCGCGAAAGCGUGACGCAGCAACGCCGCGUGUGGGAAGACGGCCUUCGGGUUGUAAACCACUUUCAGUUGGGGCGAAUGGGUAGUCCGUUAAUAGCGGUUCUACUUGACGGUACCUUCACAAGAAGCCCCGGCUAACUACGUGCCAGCAGCCGCGGUAAUACGUAGGGGGCAAGCGUCGUCCGGAAUCAUAGGGCGUAGAGCGCGUGUAGGCGGGUCGGUAAGUCUGCUCUGAAAGUACAAGGCUCAGCCUUGGGAUGCCAGGUGGAUACUGCCGACCUCGAGUCCGGAGGAGGCUAGUGAAAUUCUNGUGUACCGGUGAAAUGCGCAAAUAUCAGGAGGAACACCAAUGGCNAAGGCAGCUCGCUGGGACGUGACUGACGCUGAAACCCCAAAGCGUGGGGAACAACAUGAUUAAAUACCCUGGUAUUCAC